AGUGAACGCUGGCGGUAGGCCUAACACAUGCAAGUCGAACGGCAGCACAGUAAGAGCUUGCUCUUACGGGUGGCGAGUGGCGGACGGGUGAGGUAUACAUCGGAAUCUACUUUUUCGUGGGGGAUAACGUAGGGAAACUUACGCUAAUACCGCAUACGACCUACGGGUGAAAGCAGGGGAUCUUCGGACCUUGCGCGAUUGAAUGAGCCGAUGUCGGAUUAGCUAGUUGGCGGGGUAAAGGCCCACCAAGGCGACGAUCCGUAGCUGGUCUGAGAGGAUGAUCAGCCACACUGGAACUGAGACACGGUCCAGACUCCUACGGGAGGCAGCAGUGGGGAAUAUUGGACAAUGGGCGCAGGCCUGAUCCAGCCAUACCGCGUGGGUGAAGAAGGCCUUCGGGUUGUAAAGCCCUUUUGUUGGGAAAGAAAAGCAGCAGGUUAAUACCCCGCUGUUCUGACGGUACCCAAAGAAUAAGCACCGGCUAACUUCGUG
rnacentral:rRNA from 1 species